rnacentral:rRNA from 1 species
UACUAGAGUAGCACUCGCAUAUCAAUAAGCGGAGGAAAAGAAACUAACAAGGAUUCCCCUAGUAACGGCGAGUGAAGCGGGAAGAGCUCAAAUUUGAAAUCUUAAAGGGUUUCCCUUUACGAAUUGUAGUUUAAAGAAGUGUUUUCUGUUGAGGUUUUGGUAAAAGUUCUUUGGAAUAGGACAUCAUAGAGGGUGAGAAUCCCGUAUUUGACCUUUACUUUCAACUUUGUGAUACACUUUCAAAGAGUCGGAUUGUUUGGGAAUGCAGUCCAAAAUGGGUGGUAAAUUUCAUCUAAAGCUAAAUAUUGGCGAGAGACCGAUAGCGAACAAGUACCGUGAGGGAAAGAUGAAAAGAACUUUGAAAAGAGAGUUAAACAGUACGUGAAACUGUCAAAAGGGAAGCGUUUGACACCAGUGUUGUUUUUCUGAAAAUCAAUUAAAGAACUGUUUAUGCUAAGCUGUUUAGACUUUAUCAGCUAUCUGUUUAGUUUUGAGCUUUUCUUUAAUGCACUUUUCAGUUAACAAGUCAACAUCAAUUUCUUUUGCUGUAAAAAAGCUUGAGGAAGGUGGCUUGAGAUUCGUCUUAAGUGUUUAUAGCCUCUUGCCUAUGCAGUCGGAGAGAUUGAGGUCUGCAGCGUAGAUCCUUCGGGGCUAAAUGCAUUUGUGCUAAGUUAUAGCAUUUUAUAGACAACUUGUUGACUAUGUUUUGUCUUGUAGCUUACUCGCUUAUGUUAUUUUACCUACGCUUAGGAUGUUGAGCGCAUUGUCUCUCUCU